rnacentral:rRNA from 1 species
UACGUAGGGUGCGAGCGUUGUCCGGAAUUACUGGGCGUAAAGGGCGCGUAGGUGGCCCGGUCAGUUCGUGGUGAAAGCGCGGGGCUCAACCCUGCGUCGGCCAUGAAUACUGCCGCGGCUGGAGCACUGUAGAGGCAGGCGGAAUUCCGGGUGUAGCGGUGGAAUGCGUAGAGAUCCGGAAGAACACCGGUGGCGAAGGCGGCCUGCUGGGCAGUUGCUGACACUGAGGCGCGACAGCGUGGGGAGCGAACAGG